ensembl:lncRNA
AUGCAGAGAGUUCUCUUUGUUACUAUCGAUAUAGCCUCUGAUAUCUUACGGUCCAACUCGUCUGACGCCAGUCCGAUACAUUCUUCCUCGUCUUUAUCUUCGCUCAGUUGUAGAUUAGGGAUAUUAUUCAGUCUUAUUAUGCCGCUUUCAUCGUCGCUCAGAUCGUCUUCAGAAUCAGUGAGCGCUUGUUCAUAAGCAUCCGGCUUGUCGAAGAAGUACUUCAAAACAUUUUCGGUGUAACGGCCACGGUUCAGCUCGUCUGCAAUAAUCGUUGCGGCGUCUAUCUUCAUUGAAUUUUGAUAUCAGCUAGAGCCGGCAGGAGCGCUGCAUAAUAAGUAGCCACGCUUCCCUUGGAGGGCGGGGGCAAUAACAAAAGAAACAAAAGCCGGCUCAUCCAGUAUGGAAAUACACACAGACAACGACACGGCCCUACUGCGUGCUAGAAUCUCCAAAAAACAAGCCGAUUUCAACCUCAAAAUGUACGCUUUUAAAUAUACCAAUACUGCUAUCUCAAACACGGAGAGGCUUCUUCGUGAUCUCAACUAACAGAUUCUGCAAAAAAAUGAAAAUCACCAAUUGAAAAAAAAAACGCUUCUUUCUCAUUUUGCUCGAAAGUUGUGCUGCCGACUUGUGUCACUGGUUUCCGUGACGGGUCACAUAUAGUGAAAAAAAAAAAGUGAAAGUCGUGACAUUUGUCAAGUAUGGUAACCCAUACUCGAAAUUGGUGCUCUGCAUUUAACCCAUCCAAGUGCACACACACAGCAGUGAGAAGUGAACACACCGUGAACACACACCCGGAGCAGUGGGCAGCUAUAUAUCCAGCGCCCGGGGAGCAACUGGGGGUUCAGUGCCUUGCUCAAGGGCACUUCAGCUAUGGGUAUUGAGGGUGGAAGAGAGCGCUGUUCAUUCACUCCCUCCCACCUACAACUCCUGCCAGCACCGAGACUCGAACCUGCGACCUUCUGGUUACAAGUCCAAUUAUCUAACCAUUAGGCCACAGCUGCCCCUAAUAUCAAUGUCAAUGAAGUGGAGGUAUAUUUGCUUUUAUAAGUGUUUUAUUAUUAAAUGUGACUCAAUAUAACAUUGGGUAACAGGAAAAUUUUUUUUUACUGUUCUAAAAACAGAUUUGUGAGCAGUAUUGGAAUUGAAGAUGUUAGAUGCACAUGCAUUGUUGUCGUGGUGAAUUUGGCCAAUC